UNUGACUUGAGUGCAGAAGGGGAGAGUGGAAUUCCAUGUGUAGCGGUGAAAUGCGUAGAUAUAUGGAGGAACACCAGUGGCGAAAGCGGCUCUCUGGUCUGUCACUGACGCUGAGGCUCGAAAGCGUGGGUAGCGAACAGGAUUAGAUACCCUGGUAGUCCACGCCGUAAACGAUGAGUGCUAGGUGUUAGGCCCUUUCCGGGGCUUAGUGCCGGAGCUAACGCAAUAAGCACUCCGCCUGGGGAGUACGACCGCAAGGUUGAAACUCAAAGGAAUUGACGGGGGCCCGCACAAGCGGUGGAGCAUGUGGUUUAAUUCGAAGCAACGCGAAGAACCUUACCAGGUCUUGACAUCCCGAUGCUAUUCUUAGAGAUAGGAAGUUACUUCGGUACAUCGGAGACAGGUGGUGCAUGGUUGUCGUCAGCUCGUGUCGUGAGAUGUUGGGUUAAGUCCCGCGACGAGCGCAACCCUUAUUGUUAGUUGCCAUCAUUAAGUUGGGCACUCUAGCGAGACUGCCGGUAAUAAACCGGAGGAAGGUGGGGAUGACGUCAAAUCAUCAUGCCCCUUAUGACCUGGGCUACACACGUGCUACAAUGGUCGGUACAACGAGUUGCGAGCCGGUGACGGCAAGCUAAUCUCUGAAAGCCGAUCUCAGUUCGGAUUGGAGGCUGCAACUCGCCUCCAUGAAGUCGGAAUCGCUAGUAAUCGCGGAUCAGCACGCCGCGGUGAAUACGUUCCCGGGCCUUGUACACACCGCCCGUCACACCACGAGAGUUUGUAACACCCGAAGUCGGUGAGGUAACCUUUUAGGGGCCAGCCG
rnacentral:rRNA from 1 species